UAAACUCCUUGGGGAAAUUCCCCGGGCGCUAACGGGAGAGAAUCCCAUCCGGAAACGGAACCCGGCGCGGCAGCCGCUCGUUUUUGACAAAGACGGCCGACUUCAUGUCGGCAAGAGUUGUGUUAUCGAGACGGCGCCGUCAAAAAGCCGCCGCCAUAUCAAAGUCAUGCCAUUUAGAACUCAACGGGGGUCAC
rnacentral:RNase_MRP_RNA from 1 species